GAUGGGCCUGCGGCCUAUCAGGUAGUUGGUAAGGUAACGGCUUACCAAGCCAAAGACGGGUAGCCGGACUGAGAGGUUGAACGGCCACACUGGAACUGAGACACGGUCCAGACUCUUACGGGAGGCAGCAGUGGGGAAUUUUGCGCAAUGGGGGAAACCCUGACGCAGCGACGCCGCGUGGAGGAUGAAGGUCUUCGGAUUGUAAACUCCUUUUGUCGGGGAAGAUAGUGACGGUACCCGAUGAAUAAGCCACGGCUAACUCUGUGCCAGCAGCCGCGGUAAGACAGAGGUGGCAAGCGUUGUUCGGAAUUACUGGGCUUAAAGGGCGCGUAGGCGGUGGAGUAAGUCUAAGGUGGAAGAUUAGGGCUUAACCCUAAAAUUGCCUUGGAAACUGCAUCACUUGAGUCAGCGAGGGGAUGGCGGAAUUCCAGGUGUAGCGGUGAAAUGCGUAGAUAUCUGGAGGAAGGCCGGUGGCGAAGGCGGCCAUCUGGCGCUGAACUGACGCUGAGGCGCGAAAGCGUGGGGAGCAAACAGGAUUAGAU
rnacentral:rRNA from 1 species